rnacentral:misc_RNA from 1 species
GAUGAAGAACGCAGUAAAAUGCGAUAAUUAAUGUGAAUUGCAGAAUUCAGUGAAUCAUCGAGUCUUUGAACGCACAUUGCGCCCCCUGGUAUUCCGGGGGGCAUGCCUGUCCGAGCGUCAUUGCUGCCCUCAAGCACGGCUUGUGUGUUGGGCUUCCGUCCCUGGCAACGGGGACGGGCCCAAAAGGCAGUGGCGGCACCAUGUCUGGUCCUCGAGCGUAUGGGGCUUUGUCACCCGCUCCCGUAGGUCCAGCUGGCAGCUAGCCUCGCAACCAAUCUUUUUAACCAGGUUGACCUCGGAUCAGGUAGGGAUACCCGCUGAACUUAAGCAUAUCAAAAGCGGAGGA